AUACGUAGGUGGCAAGCGUUAUCCGGAAUUAUUGGGCGUAAAGCGCGCGUAGGCGGUUUUUUAAGUCUGAUGUGAAAGCCCACGGCUCAACCGUGGAGGGUCAUUGGAAACUGGAAAACUUGAGUGCAGAAGAGGAAAGUGGAAUUCCAUGUGUAGCGGUGAAAUGCGCAGAGAUAUGGAGGAACACCAGUGGCGAAGGCGACUUUCUGGUCUGUAACUGACGCUGAUGUGCGAAAGCGUGGGGAUCAAACAGGAUUAGAUACCCUGGUAGUCCACGCCGUAAACGAUGAGUGCUAAGUGUUAGGGGGUUUCCGCCCCUUAGUGCUGCAGCUAACGCAUUAAGCACUCCGCCUGGGGAGUACGACCGCAAGGUUGAAACUCAAAGGAAUUGACGGGGACC
rnacentral:rRNA from 1 species